AGGGAUGUGAGUGCAUAAAGAAAAGGCCACGUGAGGACACAGCAAGAAAGUGGUCAUCUGCAAGCGCAAAAGACAGGCCUCAGAAGAACCCAACCCUAUUGACACUAUGAUCUUGGACAUCCAGCCUCCAGAACUCCGUUAACAAACCAUCUGUAUGCCUAAUAUUGAUGCUGUCUUUCCCUAGUGUACUGGACAACCUAAGACAGGGAAAUAAAGAUAAAGUUUGGAUUGAAGAGUGAGUUUCAGGUAUAAAGAAAUUUGUAAUAGAAUUUUUCCUUCAAAAAGAAAAGCUGGAUUUUGCAAGGCCUAUAAGAGGCUGUCAGUUACCACCUAAGGAGCCAAAAUAAUGCAGCUUCACAUCUCCUUAAUGGACAGAAGACUACACUGUUUUUGCUGCACCCAGAGAUAAAAUUAUUGGUUUUGGAGUACCUUCACUGAUGCCAGGGGUGUCAUCUUUACCUUCCAUCACAUAAUAUAUAUAAAGAGAAUUUUUCUUAGCUUUAAAUGAGUUGAUAAGAGGACAAGAAGAAAGUCAAGGACUCCAUUUCCAGGAUUAAAAGCGGUUUUUUCCUUUGUCUUCCAAAUCCUAGCAGUAGAAGCAUUUGAGUUCUGCAGAAAUUACUGAAGUGGUUCAAGUGUGGGCAGUCAGGACACUCAGCCCACCAUACUCAACCCCAACUCAACCUCAACUCUCAGUACGGCAGAGAGACGGAGAACUCAGAGCUAUAACUUUCAGGAAUUCUCAAAACCUCAGACAAAAUGCAUCUUUGUUUUACCACCUGUUAAAGUAUAUCCUCAUCUGCCUCAGUGCACAUAAGUAUACAACACUGCAGAUUGUGUUUAACUUCAUUUGCAAUUAAUUUAACGCAUUUUGUAUCCAACAUUUCUACUAGGAAAUAGUAUUAGUCUAUCCCCAAACUAAAAUUCACUGCAAAAAUGUAAUUCACUCAAGAAAAAUAAUGAUAAUUCUUCAAACACCUUGAGAUGUCAUUCAACAAUCAUACCCAAUGGGUAAAAUUUAGAGUUCAACAUUUAGCUUGCAUUUCUUUCUAACCAAACAUCUCAAGUUCAAAAAAUAAAGCAGAUUGUUUUGUG
ensembl:lncRNA LINC01592 long intergenic non-protein coding RNA 1592